rnacentral:rRNA from 1 species
UACGAAGGGGGCUAGCGUUGCUCGGAAUUACUGGGCGUAAAGGGCGCGUAGGCGGGUCGUUUAGUUAGAGGUGAAAGCCCAGGGCUCAACCCUGGAAUUGCCUUUAAUACUGGCGGCCUUGAGUAUGGCAGAGGUGUGUGGAACUCCGAGUGUAGAGGUGAAAUUCGUAGAUAUUCGGAAGAACACCAGUGGCGAAGGCGACACACUGGGCCAUUACUGACGCUGAGGCGCGAAAGCGUAGGAGCAAACAGG